rnacentral:lncRNA from 1 species
CUAAAAGAAAGGAGAAAAAGAAGGAACAACUUCAUCAGCUCUGCUAUGAAAAUUCCAUAUGUUCCAUAUGUUCUCCAUGAACCCUUACCUAGGAGAAACCAUUCCAAGUGGCAACAGAGAGACAGAAAAAAGAAAACAGUGUUCCAUUAAAUUUGAUGAAGACCAACAAGGUUUAGCACCUGCUGUUCUUGAAAAAUUUCAUCAUAGGUGUCGCUGCUUGUAUGUAUCUGCCAUGGAAGUCAUCUCCUGCCCUGUCGGAAAAGGAAUCAAAGUGCCUCCACUUACAGUGACACAAUUCUUGAGACAACCUACAACUGCCCAAGUGAAAACCAUCAUAUACUGGCACCAAUCUACAAACCAUGUAGUUGACAUGCUGGCUAUUGAAAGGCAGACCUAUAUUUUUUUUCCUUAAAACAAUCUUUGACCUGUGCAAGUCUUUUUGGUCUUGGUUGUAGUUGUGUUAAAAGUUGCCUUGCACUUUUGGUCAGAAGAUUACUAAUAAAUGUAGCAAAUAAUCUAUAAAAAUAGUGCUGGACAACUUUGUCCCAUAUCAUAUUACUGUUUUCCCUUCAAUUAAUCUGGUUUUUCAAGACUCCCGUGCCCCCCACCACCAAAAAAAAUAAUAAUAAACACUAGUUCUUCUAGUAUAUAUGAGUUCAAUCACAACUCAGUUGGUAAAUUCUGAUCAAAAACAAACUCAAAGUAAGAAUACAUUUUACUUUAUUAGGUUUGUGCAAUCUGGGUAAACCACAAGCUAUUUCGUUUUCUGGCUUUUGGUGAGGGCCCCGAUCCAUUUUUGGAAGCUUCCCGAAUACAGGAGGGCAGAUAUUCCCUGCACAUUUUGAAUAAGAGUUAACAUACAGUAGUCUCAUUGGCUUAUGGAUAAAUUGAUCUAAGUUGUUUGCAUUGAAAUUUGACUGCCAUUUCUAGGCUUAUACAUGAGUAUAUAGAGUAAGUGUGUUCUGAUUUUGGCUCUAGAAAUGAAAAGUGGUUUGUGUCUGUCUGAUACAACUGUCUGGUAAGAGGAAAACAAAUAUGUGAAUGCCAUCUUAUUUGCUCUAUUUAAUUAAAUGUGAUAUAUGGAUAAGUAAAGGAGGAAAGGUGAGCUGAAGACCUUUAAUUCCAUUCCUUAAUCAGAAGAACCACAAAUCCAUGCAUGGGAUCUAUGCUUAUUAGAGUCUAGGCUGUAAAUAAUGUCUUGAGUGUGUGACACUAAACUGGCAGUAUAGCUCCAGAAAAUUCCAAAUUUUCUAUAUAAGGAAAGUUAUGAGAAGGAGAGGGGAGAAGAGCUCACAAAGAAAUUUGAAUUGGCUAAUAAUGAUCUUUAAGAGUGAACAAACAGUCUUGAAAGUGACACAAAGGAAAAUCAAAUAGGCCAUUCAGCCUGGCCUCCUUACAAUGAAAGAAAAAGAAAGCUAAUGUGAACAUAGCCCAUAUUUUUUUUCUGAUUAGAAAAUGAAAUGACUGGGCAAGAUAGCUGCCUUUUUAUAUAUUAGGUAUUAAUCUUCCUCUUUUGUACUGUGAUAGGGAUUGAUUUCUUCACAUCUCUCAGAUAAGGAGAUAAGCAAUCUUCUGAUCCCUUUUAAAAAGCAGAGAUGUGAAUCAAGUGAAGGGGUGCUUUGAUUGUGCUCUUCCUGCAUGGCAGGGGGUUGGACUAGACGGCCCAUGUGGUCUCUUCCAACUCUAUGAUUCUAUGUCUGCAGAUGUAUUUCAUGUAGAGAGUUAUUUAUAUAUUUAACAUAUUUUGGCCUGCUUUUUUACCUUCUAUCUCCAAAAACUUGUUCAAAGAACCACCUACAAAUAUAUUGGAAAUAAGGCAGUUCCUGGCUGAAGGUUUAAAGACAUGAUAUCUAAGAUAAAGCGACUGAGAGAGAGGAAGAAAGAUAUCAACUAAAUUGGGAUUAGAUUCUUAGUUGAAUAAUUCAACAAGCAGUAACUUCAGCAGUCUAUAGAGCUGGGUUUAAGUAUAGUGGCUAUUGUCUCUCAUCUACAGAUCUUGAGAAUAUUAUCAAGACAACGAUUGGGACUGUUUCUAUAAUAAACAAAUAUAUGAGUUAUACUGGAUUUAAGACUAAAGACUGAAUUAGCUUUAAUCCGAAUUCAAACCCGAUGUGAUGUUAACACUAUUCCUUGUUACUAUCUAUAUAUAUAAAAGAGUGAUGGCAUCAGGGCAGCGGACAAAACAACAAAACUACAGGCCCCCCAACCUCGAAAUUUGACAACACAAAUCAUCCACGGCUCUAGGUUGAUACAACAAAAAGAAAAGAAAAAUAAAGUCCUAAUUAGAGGGAGAGGAAUAAUUGUUUUUAUCCAAUUGCUGCCAGUUACAAGGCUAAGUUCCACCCACUUGGUCUCCUAGCAACCUACUCAGCCCAGGGGACAGGCACAGUUAGGCCUCACUUAGGCCUCUUCCACAGAUUAUCUAAUUUGCACUGGAUUAUAUGGCAGUGUAGACUCAAGGCCCUUCCACACAGCUAUAUUACCCAUUUAUAAUCUUAUAUUAUCUGCUUGACAUUGGAAUAUCUUGACUCCACACUGCCAUAUAAUCCACUUCAGUGUGCAUUUUAUACAACUGUGGAGAAGGGGCCUCAUAUAAUCCAGUUCUAUGCAGAUAAUAUAAGAUUAUAAAUAUACAGUAGAGUCUCACUUAUCCAACAUAAACAGGCUGGCAGAAUGUUGGAUAAAUGAAUAUGUUGGAUAAUAAGAAGGGAUUCAGAAAAAGCCUAUUAAACAUCAAAUUAGAUAAUGAUUAUACAAAUUAAGCACCAAACAUCAUGUUAUACAACAAAUUGGACAGAAAAAGUAGUUCCAUGCGCAGUAAUGCUAUGUAGUAAUUACUGUAUUUACAAAUUUAGCACCAAAAUAUCACAAUGAAUUUAAAAUAUUGACUACAAAAACAUUGACUACUAAAAGGCAGAGUGCAUUGGAUAAUCCAGAACACUGGAUAAGCGAAUGUUGGAUAAGUGAGAUUCUACUGUAAUAUGAAAUAAUUACUGUGGUAAUCCAGUCCAACCCAAUUCUGCCAUGGAGGACACAAUCCAAACACGCCCAACAGAUGGCCACCCAGCCUCUCAAUAAUAAUAAUAAUAAUAAUAAUAAUAAGAAGAAGAAGAAGAAGAAGAAGAAGAAGAAGAAGAAGAUCAUACAAUCAUAACGUUAGGAGACACCCCUAAGGAUCAUCCAGAACAACUUCCUUCUACCAUGCAGGAGGACACCAUCCAAUCACUCCUGACAGAUGGCCAUCCAAUAUCUGCACAAUAAUAAUACACAUCGAAUCAUAACAUCAGACAGUUAGAAGACACCCCUAAAGGCCAUCCAGCCCAACCCAAUUCUGCCAUGGAGGACACAAUCCAAGCACGCCCAACAGAUGGCCACCCAGCCUCUCAAUAAUAAUAAUAAUAAUAAUAAUAAUAAUAAGAAGAAGAAGAAGAAGAAGAAGAAGAAGAAGAAGAAGAAGAAGAUCAUACAAUCAUAACGUUAGGAGACAAAGGAUCAUCCAGAACAACUUCCUUCUACCAUGCAGGAGGACAC